CCUAAACUGCCAGAUUUCCAUGGUCGUCUUCUUGGGUGUCCGAUGUGGCUGAUUUUCGUCUCCAGUUGGUCCAGAUGAUCUCGUCAUUGUUGAAUCCCUAAUGCUGUCCAUCGUUGGCCGGUUUCGAAAUUUUCGAUGCUUCUGCCAUUGGUCGAGCCCGUUUUGGUUCCAUCUCGUACUGCUGCACAUUUGCUUCCAUCUUAGAACUCCUCACAUAACAUUUUCUUCAAUUUAACGUUUUUUUUUACACUAUUUUAACUGUUUGUUACUUCGCGAAAUCAUUUUGUUCAUUAAUUUUCACACAUAGUCACAUUUUCAACUCUCGAUUUUGUCCAAUCAAAAUGGCGUGUCCAAACACACACAGCGUUGCUUUCCGCUAGUCACCACCUGAACGGCCCGAGCGGUUUAGGCUUUCAGGAUUUUUGUGAUAUUUACUUGUAGAGUCAAAACAGAUCAGUAAACUUCACUUAUUUGUAUAUUACACUUUUUAAAGAUUACAUUUUUUUGCGGUAACACUCUCAACUUUUACGCGCACGAUCACAUCACUUUGCAUUAAGAUCUUCGUCGAGCCAGUUCUCUACGUUGAAGCCAGACUUGUCCUCCAGACCUCUGCGCCGAGCCAUGCCAGACCCGAACUCUUCACAGCGGCUAAGUCCCGGCGGACUCUUCACAGCGGCUAAGUCCCGGCGGACUCUUCACAGCGGUUAAGUCCCGGCGGACUGCGGCCUCCACCGCUAAGUCCGGCUGGACUGGGGCCUCUGCUACUGGUGGCUGCUGGCGGGUCCGGCUGGUCUGGGGCUUCUUCAGGAUCUGGAACUGGACUGGGCUUGAACUGGCUGGAACUGACUGGAACUAACUCGAACUAAUUGCCCUCCUCAAGAAUUUUGGGGUUUUUAUAGUCAGUCCCCGAAAACUCUACUAAAUUUUGUUCUACUAAAAGUGGUCCGUUUCGAUGAGAAGCAUCGAUGAACCUCAUGAAUUAAAUUAUGCAGACCUCUGCAAUUCUUCAUGACUUUCCGUAUGGUGUAGUGAGUACACCUCAAAAUCGGAAUCAUGGGUUCGAACCAUUGUCGUGAAACAUUAAAUUAUGUUAUUGGAAUAUCAAAAUUAUGUUCCUAAAACAUUCUCAAAAAUGUUGGUCAAUAAUGAGAAGGUCGAAUUCUCCAUUGAACGAACAUGCCAAUGAAUUUGGUUAAGCCACACCCUCAAUUUCCCCUGUGGAAAAACAUCGCACAUUCAUAAUUGAAAGCUUAACCAUUUUUUUGAUUGCCUAACAAUUGGCGAAAUUUAAUAAAGGGCUUUUCAGGUGAGGAUGACUCAUGAUCCACACCUGUACAUAAGCUUAAUUAUUUGUCGCGCAACGCGAGUCGACGGGUAAAAUUAUUUAUGCUUGCGUAUGCGCGCAUGGUCAGAACUGUGGUGAGGUUCGAAAAAUGGACAAAUUUAAUGAUUUAAAUUUGAGGUCGCUGCACUAAUUUUAAAAAUGUUGUAUGGAGCAAAACACGGCCUUCGGCCUUUAAGUGGAUAGCUGGAUCUCCGGAUUGCCAAUGAUCUGCAAAGGAUCAAAGGAUUCAUGAAUGCUCUGGAGAAGAAAAGCAACAAGCAGGUCCAAAUCAACCGGGUAUUGGAGGAACUAGUCAACAACCUAACUCGUAUCGCUAAGCAAGAUUUAGCACUUUGUUCGAACAAGCGCAGUUAAACCAAAGAGUUGAUCAUCAUUUCACUAUAGUUCUGGCGAAGAAAGGAAAGGAACAAGCAUAACCUAGCCGCUUUCGUACGAGGACAUUGAGCAGAUGCCGGCGAAACUAGAAAGUCAGGACAGAGCUGGUGGCUCCAUCAACGGCUCAGAUUAUGCCGAAUCAAUACCAAAUUGUGUACACGGUUAAGGUCCCGAGAACGUUCAAGACCAAGAGUAUUUGACUACACCUAUGCUCAUGCUCAAGUCAAACCGGUACGUACUAGGUACCUUUGUAACGAGUUGCAUCUGAGUCCAGCCAGUGGAUAUUUGGACGACUUGGUCAAUGGACGGAACGCAAACUGUGCCUUUGAGGAAUCGAACUCUAGUAUCAAAAAUUACACCGAACGACACCAAUUUUGGAUUAGGUGCUGGAGGAUUGAGUAUUUCGGGAAUUUCAGUGUCAUCCAUCACGAAGUGUGUUUAUGAUUCUAAAGAAAAUAUCUAGAAGAAAGAAGCCCAUAGUCUCUACAAACAAAACGUCCCCUUGAAGACGAGCUUACAGAACAACCAGUGCAGGCGGUGAAAUCGAGUAAUAAACGUAUUAUCAACACUGAAUAAACAAUCCCUAAACCGAUUGAUUGCGAUGACAUGUCCCCAAACAAUCACUAAUCGAAUCAAAUCAUCUUUUGUUCAAAGUCAAAGACUGUCAAUUCUGUUGGUCACCACAAAUUGCAUAACAAAGCAGGCUUGUGGAACAGUUUGCUCAGAGCUGUCAUCCAUCAAAAACACAAAACAGUGAGGAAACGGGGAGGAAGAACGCGAAGCUGCAGCAGCAACACGGUCAAAAAGCAAAAUUCCCCUUGAACUUCACCAAAAUAAUCCAACGGAACGGCAGCCGACACCGGAAGAACCACUUCCGGCAGAAAAAUACGCUCCCGACGUACUCCAAGCCGCACUUUCCGCCGACGGGAAGCUCCUUU